rnacentral:lncRNA from 1 species
UCUAUUUUGAACAGGUGGAAAGACGGGCUGGGAUUUUGGUCUCUUUAUCUUUGUAUGUUCAGUACAUAUUAACAUUUUAACUUUAUUUCAGAUAAUCAAUCAACUCUGGAUAUACCCAAGCAAUCUGUUCAUGACACCUAGGUUAAAGUAAAAAGUUUCCCAAAGGUCCAGAGAAAAAGGAAGUUUGUAAAAGAUAAGAAGGAUCUAAUGAAGAGGCACAAAGGCUGGGAGCCCAGACUUUAGAACAUGGUGUACAACAAUCAAGCUGUGAAAAUUUGAAGACAAAUCUAAAGAGGUCCAUAUCUCCAGAGCAACCACAAAAUGAUUAGUUUGAACAUG